UACUUCCUACUCAAAUUCUUCCCCUGCUCUUAUGACUAACAUGCAGCCCUACCAGUAUCAGACUACACAGUGGCCAUAUCUAGUGCAGCAACCAUCUCCUCAUCAAUACUUGCAAAUGCCAUUGGAACUUGAAAACACUACCAGUAAUGCUGCUGGAAGAGCAUCAGGUAUGUUAAACUGUUCUAUUUAUCCAACUGUUGUUGACAAAUGGAUAGUAGAUUCAGGAGCCUCCAAGCAUAUGGUCAAUGCUCUUCACUUGUUAACUCACUCUAUUACUCUCCAUGAUUCCCCUGAGGGUAAAGUACACUUACCUACUGGUAGUUUAGCUAAGGUCAGUCAUAUUGGUUGUUCUCAGAUACUUGGAGGGAUUGAGAUCACCAAUGUACUGUUUGUUCCUGAGUUCAAGUAUAACUUGCUCUCUGUGCCAAAGUUAACUAAGGAGUUAAAUUGCUGUGUUCUUUUCUAUCCUGAUCACUGUGUAUUUCAGGAUCUCUCCAGUGGGAAGGUGAGGGGGAUUGGCAAGUUGGAGAAUGAUUUGUAUGUUCUUCAGGCUGAUUGUCAAUUGAAGUCACCAACAACAGUUUCUUUGUCAUCAGCUUAUGCAGUUUCCACCCCUUCAUCAUGUGUCUCAUCACCUCCUAUAGCUCCUGUUAACAAGAAUGUUUCUCUAUGGCAUAAAAGGCUGGGC
rnacentral:lncRNA from 1 species